rnacentral:sRNA from 1 species
UGAUUGAGUAUACAACUAACAUGCUCAUUAUUUAUUUUGAUAUACAAGUGAAGAAAGAAAUUAUCUUUCUGCUGAUUCUAUAGAUCCUACAGAUUCUGAUUCGCUUAACAAUCUUGUAUCACCCCAGUU